CUUAUGUCUUCUGGGUUCUCUGAAUCCUUCUCUUUCGCUCUCUUCUCUUCCUCUUCUCGUCCCCGCUCGCAAAGAGGAUCCGUUUCAGCCUCUAUGCCCUUCCAUUCCUCAUGGGCUGGUUACAGAUUAAAAUCCUUCGGAUUUCUUCAUUUUAUAGAUAUCAUUUUGAAACCCUAGAAAAAAAAACCUUUUUUUUUUUUGAGGAAAAAAAGGGAGAGAAAAACAAAAUGCCAGGUCCGCAGCGGCAGCUGGUGAAUCAGAAUCGGAUGCGGAGGAAGUGGGGAAAAAGUCCGGAUCCGAAACUGAGAGCCCGACCCGAAUCCGAACGGUAGCUCCGAAAGCUCAGCGUCGUCUUCUCCGACCCCGACGCUACGGAUUCAUCCAGCGACGAGGAUGAACCCGAAUACGAAACCCGGAAGUACAAAAAUUUCUUGGGUUUAGGGAGUACAAAAAUUAGUUAAAUUAUUAUUAAUAUUAUGUCUCAAUUUAUGUCAUAGUGUUUGGUUGUUCGCAUUGGCAUGUAAGAAAUUUCUUGGGUUUUUCCGGGGUUUAAGCACCGUCCAAGAAGUUUUAUGAAUCUUGUUGGUUUGUUUGUUUAAAGUCAAUUCUAAGAUUGGUUAUUUUAA